GUCAGCUAAUAGAGAGGACUGCAACUACUUUGUUUCUAUGGAAUAAAACAAACAAAAGAUGAGAGAGUUAAACAGCAGCAAGAUUCAGGGGGUGAUGUUGAUAUUUGUAAUAGUUGUCAAGUUCACCAUAAAAAAAAAAAGAAAAUUAAUCGUUGCAGAGGCUACUGGAAGACGGGCAUGCUAAUUCACUGUAGGUGGAAUUGGUUCAGAAAACAAUUUGGAAUUAUGCAAGAAGAUUCACUAAAUUGUUCAUCUCCUCUGAUCCAGAGAGUCCAUUAGGGGAACUAUAUUCCAAAGAGAUAAUUGACAACAAGAAAAAGAUCCAUAAAUAUCCCCCCAAAUGUUCAUAGAAGCAUUAUUUGAGAAACAAAAAAAAAGUGGCCAGUGAGUGAUUAGGGCAUAGAUAAUCAAAUUUGGAAAGUGGAUGGAACAGAAUAUUACUGUAACAUGGGGAAUAAUGAGUAUGAGGAAUUCAGAGAAAUUCAGGAAGACUUGAAAGAAGUGAUCAGAAUGAAGAAAACUGGGUCAAAAGAACACUGACUGCAACAGUAUAAAUAGAAUCAGUGCUGAGGAGCAAUCAAACUGUCUCAAAAUAUAAUGGUCAGGAUGAAUGCUACAACGUCAAAAUUAUUCGAUUAACUAUUGGAUGGAAGGAUGGGAGAAUGACCUGGUCUACAUCAACUUUAAUAGCUAUGUAUAACCCAGAUAUGGAGUUAGUUCGGAGACAUUUCAGUAAACCUCCCAAGAGGUAAGCCAAGAGGCUUACACUGCAGCAAGAUGCGGAGAUAUCAUCAGCAAAGACGUGAAGUAUGAGGAGUUUAAGAAGCUGCAUAAAAUGAAAGUGCUUGCCAGUCUGUGGAUUGCAAGGCUCUUUAGGGCCAGGUAAGGAGUUAUUGUCAGGGCUGUAGUUCAGUAACAAGAGCACGCCUUGUUUCUUUAAACUGCAUAAAUAAAGGAAACCUAGUACCGUGGUGAUCACACUCCA